GGAAGUUUUCGGAUGGAAGCAAUAAACCUUAGCGGCGGACGGGUGAGUAACGCGUGGGUAACCUGCCUCAUACAGGGGGAUAACAGUUAGAAAUGACUGCUAAAACCCCAUAAGCGCACAUUGUCGAGUGACAGAGUGUGAAAAACUCCGGUGGUAUGAGAUGGACCCGCGUCUGAUUAGCUAGUUGGUGAGGUAACGGCCCACCAAGGCGACGAUCAGUAGCCGGCCUGAGAGGGCGACCGGCCACAUUGGGACUGAGACACGGCCCAAACUCCUACGGGAGGCAGCAGUGGGGAAUAUUGCACAAUGGGGGAAACCCUGAUGCAGCGACGCCGCGUGAGUGAAGAAGUAUUUCGGUAUGUAAAGCUCUAUCAGCAGGGAAGAAGAAAGACGGUACCUGACUAAGAAGCCCCGGCUAACUACGUGCCAGCAGCCGCGGUAAUACGUAGGGGGCAAGCGUUAUCCGGAUUUACUGGGUGUAAAGGGAGCGUAGACGGCUGUGCAAGUCUGAAGUGAAAGCCCAGGGCUCAACCCUGGGACUGCUUUGGAAACUGUGGAGCUAGAGUGCUGGAGAGGUAAGUGGAAUUCCUAGUGUAGCGGUGAAAUGCGUAGAUAUUAGGAGGAACACCAGUGGCGAAGGCGGCUUACUGGACAGUAACUGACGUUGAGGCUCGAAAGCGUGGGGAGCAAACGGGAUUAGAUACCCUGGUAGUCCACGCGGUAAACGAUGAAUACUAGGUGUUGGAGAGCAAAGCUUUUCGGUGCCGUCGCAAACGCAAUAAGUAUUCCACCUGGGGAGUACGUUCGCAAGAAUGAAACUCAAAGGAAUUGACGGGGACCCGCACAAGCGGUGGAGCAUGUGGUUUAAUU
rnacentral:rRNA from 1 species